rnacentral:rRNA from 1 species
CAGUCGCCGCGGUAAUACGUAGGUGGCAAGCGUUGUCCGGAAUUAUUGGGCGUAAAGGGCUCGCAGGCGGUUUCCUAAGUCUGAUGUGAAAGCCCCCGGCUCAACCGGGGAGGGUCAUUGGAAACUGGGAAACUUGAGUGCAGAAGAGGAGAGUGGAAUUCCACGUGUAGCGGUGAAAUGCGUAGAGAUGUGGAGGAACACCAGUGGCGAAGGCGACUCUCUGGUCUGUAACUGACGCUGAGGAGCGAAAGCGCGGGGAGCGAACAGGAUUAGAUACCCCAGUAGUCCCUGUCUCUUAUAC